UGUGGUGCAGGAUAGAAUGUGAUGUGAGUACAUCAGAGAUAUAUUUACAGAUUCUUAAUUUAUAUAUCACCUUGCCAAAAUAUGAGACAAUCCUUUGCUGAAUUGUCAGGAGUAUUUUCAAAGAUAUUGGAAAAAGAGAAAGCAAUGUGUAUGUGUUCUGUUAUCUUCAGCUGAACCACUGCCUCUGUUAACUGGAUUUUUCUUUCCUUUUAGUGAAAAACCAAAGGACAACAGUCAUUAUACGAUUUUGUAUUUUAAGUAUUUUCAUAAUCCAACAUAAAUUGGCCCACCCAAGGAUUAUGUCUGUCUUAUAAAGAUGUGUUUACAUAGUCAUUGGGUGAAAGAUUGCAGAAGUUGAACCACUAGUUUUGAAAGUUGAGCCAGACCAGGAAAAAUCAGGAUACAAUUUGGCACUUAUGGAGACGAAAUGAUUUCCUUUUUAGCUGCUGAUUUCUACUGGGAAAUAUUAAAAUUUGAUAAGUAGUAGACCUUCAGUGCUUCUCUAUACCAAAUGGCUUGACAGCUGUGUAAAAUCCCCAGAACGCAAGUAACCCAGCAGAGUUUGUGACAAACUGUGAACCAGCCUUUUUAGUGUUCCUGCAUGGUCUUGUCAAACAUCUGGAAGUCAGCGUGUUUGCAGUCACCUCACAACAUGACUUUGCAUUUACAUCAUUGUGCUAGCUGAAGAAUCUCUAAUGUUGGAAUUAAUGCUAAGGCUCUAGAUUGUGACAAGCUUACACAGUGAACCUCUGAACUAUAUUGAAUGGUCAGAACCAUUGGUCAUAUUUGGAACACAGAGAGAGAAAGAAAGUACCUUGGAAGCUAUGCAGUAUUCCGGUGAGCAGAAGCAAACCACCAUGCAUGUGUCUGGUUAGUGGGCUGUAUACUCUGUUCAGUGCUAAGUGUUCAAGGUGGGGAGAAAGAAGGGUAAGAAAUAGAAGACAGUCUGCUUCCCGCCCCUGUCAUUAAGAAGCUCCUUAGCAGUUCUCCCUGUGUUAAGGCAAGAGGGAGUCUAGGUAUCCUUAGAGAACCUUGUCAAAUAUCCUAGGCUAAAGGAAAAUUUAAAUCUAAUCCUAUCAGAUGAACAAAGCUGAUUAAAACAAUCCUUAGUGUAAGAAGAGCCUUUAAAGUUACCCUUGUAAAAAAAUAAAAUAAAGUUACCCUUGUGGCCCUUCUGGCAUUUUUACUUCUGUCCUAAGGCAAAACAAAAACAAGGAAACAAACAGCAAUGGCAAAGAAUUAUGAGCUUAACAUUUCUCAGCUAUAAGGGAGUUUUAGAGGUUGUUCCAUGCUGAUGAGCAUAGGAGAUUAAAGAUCAACAUUCAAGAUGAAAGAGCCCUCACUGAGAGAAGACUUGGGUAAAACCUUUCACACUUAGGUUGCUUCUUUUGAGGUUUGGUCUCUCUGAACUCUUCCCCAACUCUAAAGGCAAGGUCAAGGUCUGAGUCUAGGCUAAAUGAUGUCAAGUACAAGGGCUGUAGGAAAGGCCAAAAAGUGCCACAACUCAUCUGGCAACAGAUGAAGAUUGAGGCUGCUGGACUAAUGGCCAAAAUCGAAGGAUUACUUCAGGAGCAUGCUCCAGAGUAGUAGAAUUCCAUGCAAAUUAGAGCCAUUUGACAUUACUUCCCUGUUAACUGGGAAAGAAAGAUCCUUUUAGUAAUUUCCAAGACUGCACCAAAUUCCCCCCAAGUACUGAUGGACUCUUCCUGGUCUUAAAUACUGGCAUACUGUUCUUUAUUUUUUCUGGCUUCAAACAGGCAUAUUAAGAUUUAUUUCAUGGAUAUCUGAAUCUUUCUUUGAGUAUCUGGGAACACAUCAGAGAAAUCAGAUAGAAAAGAGGGAAAAGGAAAUAGGUUAUUUCCUUAGCCUUUUGAAGCAAGUGAAUUGGAAGGAUGCUUUCUGUGACGUUCGUUGGCCCACAACUGCCCGGAAUCUCCAAAACACCAUCUUUGUUCCUUAUUGUAUAAUCUUUAACCAAGUAUUUCACAGACAUAUUUAGUGCAUGAUUUUCACAUAUGUAUUCCCAGGAUCCAUGGAGCAGAGUUGGAAGAGAUUGAAGCAGUAAGAACAUUAGAAAGUAAUUGGAAAUUGAGAGAUGUACCAAGGAAGGAAUCACACAGAAAAGGGAGAAGAGGUAGAGUUUGCCUGAUUUGGAAAAUACAUAUUUUUUAAAAAAGACUUUAUUUAUUUAUU